CCCAAAUCCAGAGGUUGAAAGUUCAAAUCACCAGGUGGGGUCAUACUGAAAAGUCAGUACUAAGUGAUCAUGUCAAAUGUUGUUAUUGAUUAAAAGUCUUAGCUGAACAGUGUACCAUCUACCUUAAAACCCCUGUAUUAUUUCAAAUCAAAUGUGUUGAUAAAGCCUUUCUUACAUCAACUGAUAUCGCAAAGUGCUGUACAGAAACCCAGCCUAAAACCCCAAACAGCAAGCAAUGCAGGUAUAGAAGCAUGGUGGCUAGGAAAAAUCCCUAGAAAGGCCAGAACUUAGGAAGAAACCUAGAGAGGAACCAGGCAUAACACAAUUAUUUAACUUGCUUAUUGGGACAUCUGGGACCAUCAUGUGACAUAAACCUUCAGGGGACCGUGACACAAGAACGUCAUAAAAACAUUCCAGGGACAAACCGGGAACUAGACAAAACCUCCAGUGGACCAUGAAACAAGGUCCCAAGAACAUUCAGGUGACCUUCAGGGAACUAUAACACAACGUUCAGAUGACCUUCAGGAGACCAUAACACAACGUUCAGGUGACCUUCAGGAGACUAUGACACAAUGUUCAGGUGACCUUCAGGAAACCAUAAUACAACGUUCAGGUGACAUUCAGAGGACCAUAACACAACGUUGAGGUGACCUUCAGGAGACCAUGAGACAAUUUUCAGGUGACCUUCAGGAGACCAUAAGACAACGUUCAGGUGACCUUCAGGAGACCAUAACACAACGUUCAGGUGACCUUCAGGAGACUAUGACACAAUGUUCAGAUGACCUUCAGGAGACCAUAACACAACGUUCAGGUGACAUUCAGGAGACCAUAAGACAACGUUCAGCUGACCUUCAGGGGACCAUGACACAAUGUUCAGGUGACCUUCAGGGGACCAAGACACAACGUCUCAAGAACAUUCAGGUGAUCUUCCAGAGACCAUGACACAACGUUCAGGUGACUUUCAGGAGACCAUAACACAACGUUCAGGUGACCUUCAGGGGACCAUGACACAACGUCUUAAUUAAGAACGUCCAAAAAAAACCUUCCUGGGUCAAACCAGGAACUGUAAAAUGGUCCCCCAGAGAACGCUCCUUUGGAACCAUCAUGCGACGUCCUAAGGAGUAGUAAAAUGUAAUUCCUAGGAACAUAAUAAAAAAAGGGUCCUGACAUGGUCCUCAGCAUCGUCCUGGGAACAUUCAAAGAACUAGACAAUGGUCCCCCCCCCAGAGAUCGGUUCCCUUGUGACCAUUGCACAAUCUUCAAUGUUCAGAAUAUUAGUGGGAUAAGAUUGCUCAGAAACCCUUAAAGUGACCUAAUGGGAUUGUCCUCAAGAUGUCCCGUUUGCUGGUGUUCCCAGACCUAGGAAUGGGCCCUGCGUGGGAUUGCUACGAUACCGAUGACAGACUGAAGGGCAGGUCAGUCUCCUGCAGCUCAUGAAGGACAAAAGGUAGUUAUAAGUCAAGGCUGCCAAGCCUCUGGCAAUAAGGAGGACAAAGUGCUCACCCCCCCCCACAAUGAUGGUCUUUCAUCUCUACAGGCAGGAAUGGAGUGAUAGGAUCAGGAGGAGUGAAGAAAGAGUCAUUGUGCCCCCUUAACCCCUCUCUCUGUUACCCCAAACUAACCUGCUAAUAGUCCCAGGGACAUUGAGGUCACCGUCAGAGACCUAAACAUCUGUUCUGUGGCCCUGGUGUACAGUUUGCUGCUCCACUAUUUUAUAUCAUGUUAUAUUUUUACAUUUUUUACAUUUUAGUCAUUUAGCAGACGCUCUUAUCCAGAGCGACUUACAGUAGUGAAUACAUACAUUUCAUACAUUACAUGUCAUUCAUUUAUUUAUUUAUUUAUUUAUUUUUCUUUCCUGUGCUGGCCCCCCGUGGAGACAUGGUAAUAG
rnacentral:lncRNA from 1 species